rnacentral:rRNA from 1 species
AACGAACGCUGGCGGCAGGCUUAACACAUGCAAGUCGAGCGCCCCGCAAGGGGAGCGGCAGACGGGUGAGUAACGCGUGGGAAUCUACCCAUCACUACGGAACAACUCCGGGAAACUGGAGCUAAUACCGUAUACGUCCUUCGGGAGAAAGAUUUAUCGGUGAUGGAUGAGCCCGCGUUGGAUUAGCUAGUUGGUGGGGUAAUGGCCCACCAAGGCGACGAUCCAUAGCUGGUCUGAGAGGAUGAUCAGCCACACUGGGACUGAGACACGGCCCAGACUCCUACGGGAGGCAGCAGUGGGGAAUAUUGGACAAUGGGCGCAAGCCUGAUCCAGCCAUGCCGCGUGAGUGAUGAAGGCCCUAGGGUUGUAAAGCUCUUUCACCGGUGAAGAUAAUGACGGUAACCGGAGAAGAAGCCCCGGCUAACUUCGUGCCAGCAGCCGCCGCCG